AACACCGUAAUUUCAUCUUAAAAAUUGGAUGAUAGGGUGAUUAAAUAAUAAUGGAAAAGUAAAUCACUUGGAUAAUAGGUCAAAAUGCAACACAAAUGAACGUUAAUAGUGCUAUUAAUAUCAAAGUUUCGGUAAAAAGUUUGGCGCUAGUUCAACGCGCAUCGUAUACAGCCUCAUAACAAUAGACUGACAACCUUUUGGGUAGUAAAGUAGUAAUACAAGGCAAUAUGGCGACCGUUGGCCACGAGGCCUAUCUUACGGAGGAAUCCGAGAUAGCCGAUGUAUCACGAUUGCGAAAAUGUACUGCGAGUCGAAAGCACGCGACCGAGCAAUAGCGGCCAGCGUCUGUCAGUUGUAAAUAUUGACUUACGACGAUGUAAGCGACCUACAGUGCAGAGUGCAUUAGAAAUCACCGAAGCGUGCAACUAGAAUGGAUUGUGGCAAUUAUCUGGGCC